CUUAAAUCCUGUCACAGAGGCUGUUCUCUUCAUGUCAGAGAUGCCCUCCUGGCUUGGAAUUGCUGUGUUCGUUGACGACUCGCAUGUCUCCUGGCUAUCCGCUCGAUGCUCUUCAAGUGGCAUAUGACCGAUGUUUUGUCACGUACCCCAGCUCCCACAGCUGUACAUCUUUGAAUGACCGAACUUGAAAACCCACUGUUCAGCAUAUGCACGGCACUGUGUAUGCGGCUGGUGAAAUUUCUAUGAUAUUUUGCUCUGGGAUGACUGUAAUCCGGACACGGCAUGGGAAUCGCCAUCAGUCGUGAAGAAUCCAAUCGUGAGUGGAGAGACGUCUGAUGAGAAGUCACUUGAACACUGAGCUGCAGAAUGUUCUUCGUCUCCUAUUGUGUCGUCAAGCCGGAGAUU